GACGAACGCUGGCGGCGUGCUUAACACAUGCAAGUCGAACGGAAAGGCCCUGCUUGCAGGGUGCUCGAGUGGCGAACGGGUGAGUAACACGUGGGUGAUCUGCCCCUUACUUUGGGAUAAGCCUGGGAAACUGGGUCUAAUACUGGAUAAGACCAUGCUGUAGGUGGUGUGGUGGAAAGAUUAGUUUCGGUAAGGGAUGAGCUCGCGGCCUAUCAGCUUGUUGGUGGGGUAAUGGCCUACCAAGGCGUCGACGGGUAGCCGGCCUGAGAGGGUGGACGGCCACAUUGGGACUGAGAUACGGCCCAGACUCCUACGGGAGGCAGCAGUGGGGAAUAUUGCACAAUGGGCGCAAGCCUGAUGCAGCGACGCCGCGUGGGGGAUGACGGCCUUCGGGUUGUAAACUCCUUUCAGCCAUGACGAAGCCCUUGUGGUGACGGUAGUGGUAGAAGAAGCACCGGCUAACUACGUG
rnacentral:rRNA from 1 species